UAAACAGUUAAAUUUGCUAAAUUGAUAUUAAAGUAAUUUUGAAGAAAUUUAAAAACAGCAUUUGCGAAUUAAGAUUUACUUAUUUGUUCUUUUAUUUCGCACUGUCACAAACUUAUCAGAUGUUAAGUUAAGCUUUGGAAAGCAAUCCAACCGUUCCUUUCCUUUCAAUCGUAAUCGUUGAUGAACUGUUGGCUGUCAGUAGGUGGCUAAAAUUAUGUCCUCUAGACCCCAGGUGGGGCGAUUGUUUUUGUGAGGGACUAAUUUACCGCGAUUUGUUUCCGAGAACCGAGAUACAGUGAAAAUGUAAUUUGCAGUAAUUUGUAUAUUACUGAUGUACGGUGUCUUACAUUUUGUGUCACGAAAAUUAAUGGGUUUAUUCUUGUUUGGCUUUCUUAAAUUUACUGAAUGUUACUUAUUUAUGCAUGAGUUUACAGGUAAUCGUACUCCAGCUUAUAAUUUCCACAUGGUCAAAUAAUUUGAUCACGCGGGCCGAAACUGCUGUUCAUUUUGCCGAAAUGUCUAUUGUUACUUGUACGGGCUGGCUGUACGUCUUAUCCCAUGGCGAAACAAUUGAGUGUUAUUCAAGAAGGAGAUUCCUUUGCUCAACUGUUGAAGAAUUAAUAGAAAACCACUGCAAAGUCUAAACCUCAUUGCUGUCAAUCAUGCAGAUGGUUCUGUUACAGCUAGCUUAUGAAACGUGUGAUUGAUUCAAGUGGAGCAUGCAGUCUAUAUUGUAUUGAAUAUAUAGUCUUUAGUUAUAUUGAA